CUAGAAACUUCCAAGCAGGUGUGAUUUGGAGCUGGUUGGAGCUAAACUCUGCAGAGCUGUGGCCCUCUAGGAAUUGAGUUUGAGACCAUUGGUUUAUAGGCACAUAAGCACUUCUAAUCACAUCCUGCUCCAGUGAGACCAACUGCCAUUGAGAUGAAUGGAGAUGCUAACGGCUAACAGCUUCCUUCAGGUUAUUGUACUGGGACUUUAUUUCCCACGAGUUGCACCUGCUGUCGCCUCUGGAGCUCACUGUGGGUUCAGUGCUGAUGGAACGCAGAGCGGACGCAGCCUGACAUCUGAGAACGCUGAGAGCUCACGUCUAAAAGAACACAAGCAAUUGUCUGUAUCAGCGAGGGGUCACUGUCAGCCAGUAUGGGGUUCUGGCAUUUCAAGCCUGACAGAACUUUAGACCGAACUGGUUGAUCUAUCCAUGCUGAAGAAGAAACACAUGUGCUUUGUUCAUUGGCCUUUACUGCCCAAGCUCAUCAGAAUCUGGCAGUCCAGUUCAGACUCGUAUCAGUUUUCAGGUCACAGCGGAGUGAUAUGUAUUGACGGAAUAUUUUUCUCUGCACUUGGUUAGAUGAACUUCUCUGUGCUGCACCAUGAUGUCAGAUUUAAUGCAUCUUUCAACGUCUAACUGUGGUUUUAAUGGGUCAUGUAACUGUGACCACACAGGGCAUAUCUGAAUUCAGUAGAUAUUUUGUUUGUUCAAAAGGAUAUUUUGUAAAUACACCCAUCUCACAUCAGUUUGAUGCAUAUUACGCUCAUCAAAAUCAGAAUUUAACAAAUUAGCUUGCAUUUUCUGGUGAUGAUCAUGCAGAAUUUUGGACAGGAGCACAUCACGCUGCUCUUACAGAAUGACAUCAUGCGUUCACAGAGUUGCAUUAUGACAUCAGGGUGGCAUUAUGGCAUCACAAUGCAAUCACAGCACAGCCUAAUAAAUGAAGUUCCCAAACGUAAGUUAGGGAGGAGCGAGCCCAUCGAAUCUUUCAAUCAACAGCCAGAGUAUAUAAGCAGCUGCUUACCUCUCUCCAGCCUCAGCUGUUCCAGCAUCCCUCCACAUUCCCUAAUCUCCACCUUCAUCUUGGGUACCUUGCCCUUCGUAAUCAUCCUAUAUCAAGUCCCUGGGAUAUAUCAGAGCUCGAGUUGAGCUGCUUCAUCAAGGCCCGUCAUCAGUGGACAGCAAGCCAAAUAAGUUUCCUUAUACACAAUUUCCUAAAGAUUAUAUGGGCAAACGGAUUCGGUAACAGACCUGUGACAUCACACAAUCAAAAUAUCAGUGUGGCAUCAUGUCAAUAAGAUCCGAGCACUGCAUUUUGACACCACACUGCAAUCACAGUGACAUCAUGAUAACACACUGAAAUUCAGAGUGUGGUAUUUUCACAGUGUAUAAUUUAAUCACAUUAGGAUCAUACCAUGAUAUCACACUGGGAUCACAGUGUGGCAUCAUGAUAUUAUAUUGAAAUCACAAAGUGACAUCACACUGGAAUCACAACGUGGCAACAUGAUAGUACACUGGAAUCACAGUACCAUUAUAAUAUCACAAUUAAAUCACAAAGUGACAUCAUGAUAUUACAUCGAAAUCACAGAACCAUCUUAAUAGCACACUGGAAUCACCGUGACAUCAUGAUAUCACAAUGGAAUCACAGUGACAUCAUGAUAUCACACAGGAAACAAAGUGACAUCAUAAUAUCACACAGGAAACACAAAGUGACAUCAUAAUAUCACACUGGAAUCACAGUGACGUCAUAUCACAAUGGAAUCACAAAGUGACAUCAUGAUAUCACAUUGGAAUCACAGAGUGGCAUUGUGAUAUCAUACUAG
ensembl:lncRNA